rnacentral:rRNA from 1 species
UACGUAGGGGGCAAGCGUUGUCCGGAUUUAUUGGGCAUAAAGAGCGUGUAGGCGGCCAGACAGGUCUGCUGUGAAAACUCGAGGCUCAACCUCGAGACGCCGGUGGAAACCGUCUGGCUAGAGUCCGGAAGAGGAGAGUGGAAUUCCUGGUGUAGCGGUGAAAUGCGCAGAUAUCAGGAAGAACACCCGUGGCUAAGGCGGCUCUCUAGUACGGUACUGACGCUGAGACGCGAAAGCGUGGGGAGCGAACAGG